rnacentral:rRNA from 1 species
AUUGAACGCUGGCGGCAGGCCUAACACAUGCAAGUCGAACGAGUGGCGGACGGGUGAGUAAUGUCUUGGAAACUGCCUGAUGGCGGGGGAUAACUACUGGAAACGGUAGCUAAUACCGCAUACCAUCGGAUGUGCCCAGAUGGGAUUAGCUAGUAGGUGGGGUAACGGCUCACCUAGGCGUCGAUCCCUAGCUGGUCUGAGCGGAUGACCAGCGACACUGGUACUGAGACACGGUACAUACUCCUACGGGAGGCAGCAGUGGGGAAUAUUGCACAAUGGGCGCAAGCCUGAUGCAGCAAUGCCGCGUGUAUGAAGAAGGCCUUCGGGUUGUAAAGUACUUUCAGCGGGGAGGCGUUACCCGCAGAAGAAGCACCGGCUAACUCCGUGCCAUCCGCCGCGGUAAUAC